CCUACGUGAGGCAGCAGUGAGGAAUAUUGGUCAAUGGGCGGGAGCCUGAACCAGCCAAGCCGCGUGAGGGAAGAAGGUACAGCGUAUCGUAAACCUCUUUUGUCAGGGAACAAAGGCGGGGACUAGUCCCCGGAUGAGGGUACCUGAAGAAAAAGCAUCGGCUAACUCAGUGCCAGCAGCCGCGGUAAUACGGACGAUGCGAGCGUUAUCCGGCGUUAAUGGAGUUAAAGGGUGCGCAGGCGGCCGUUUCAGUCCGAGGUAAAAGCCCGGGGCUAAACCCCGCCGAGCCGUUGAAACUGGCGGGCUGGAGGUGGAGAGAAGUACGCAGAAUGCGCGGUGUAGCGGUGAAAUGCUUAGAUAUCGCGCAGAACCCCGAUUGCGAAGGCAGCGUACCGGCUCCACACUGACGCUGAGGCACGAAAGCGUGGGUAUCGAACAGGAUUAGAUACCCGAGUAGUC
rnacentral:rRNA from 1 species